CGUGGUGACUGCGGAGGAUCAUUACCGAGUGAGGGCCCUCUGGGUCCAACCUCCCACCCGUGUUUAUUUUACCUUGUUGCUUCGGCGGGCCCGCCUUAACUGGCCGCCGGGGGGCUUACGCCCCCGGGCCCGCGCCCGCCGAAGACACCCUCGAACUCUGUCUGAAGAUUGAAGUCUGAGUGAAAAUAUAAAUUAUUUAAAACUUUCAACAACGGAUCUCUUGGUUCCGGCAUCGAUGAAGAACGCAGCGAAAUGCGAUACGUAAUGUGAAUUGCAAAUUCAGUGAAUCAUCGAGUCUUUGAACGCACAUUGCGCCCCCUGGUAUUCCGGGGGGCAUGCCUGUCCGAGCGUCAUUGCUGCCCUCAAGCCCGGCUUGUGUGUUGGGCCCCGUCCCCCGAUCUCCGGGGGACGGGCCCGAAAGGCAGCGGCGGCACCGCGUCCGGUCCUCGAGCGUAUGGGGCUUUGUCACCCGCUCUGUAGGCCCGGCCGGCGCUUGCCGAUCAACCCAAAUUUUUAUCCAGGUUGACCUCGGAUCAGGUAGGGAUACCCGCUGAACUUAAGCAUAUCAAUA
rnacentral:rRNA from 1 species